rnacentral:rRNA from 1 species
CUGGUUGAUCCUGCCAGUAGGCAUAAGCUUGUCCUGGAGAUUAAGCCAUGCAUGUGUAAGAAUAAGUGUUUGAACGGCAAAUCUGCGGACGGCUUAGUUUACAGUUGUCGAUUUCCUGGUUCAGCGAGUUUACAUGGAUAACCGCGGCAAUUCUACGGCUAAUACAUGCUAUAAACCUGACUGGCUUCCGGGCCGGAACGGUUGCAUUUGGGACCAGAAAACCGACCCAAAAUAACUUUGGAAUUAUGGUGAACCGACCCAAUAUAGCCGAUCGAUCCGCCUUGUGCGGUUGACAGGAUCAAAAAGCUUCUGUCCUAUCAACUUUCGACGGAAGUUAAGGGGGCAGCCGUGGUUGCUACAGGGACAGAGAAUUAGGGUUCGGUGCUGGAGAGUUAGCCUGAGAAAAUCGCUAACACUUCUAAGGAAGGCAGCAGGCGCGCAACGUUCCCCAUGGGAAUACCCUGAGGACGUUAUGGGGACGUAUCAAUGCCGGGCCAGAAAAAGCUCGGUAAUUGGAAUGGGGGCAAUUUAAAUCACUCACCGAGUAACAAUUGGAGGGCAAGUCUGGU